AUGGCGGACGCGCGCGGGGGCUGGUCGUGGGACCUCCCCGGCUUCCAGCCGCCGACGCCGGCGGCCGGGACGCCGCUGGCGCCGCCCACCGCCAUGCCCAGGGCGCCGCCGACGGCCAUGGUGGCCCGCUCCUCCGAGGGGGCGCCCCGCGCGUCCGGCGCCAUGCCCGUCGCCGACCGCCUCGACCAGCUCGCCGACAGCGUCCAGCUUGCUAGAGAGGACUGCUUGGAACUUAGACAAGAAGCUAGUGACCUUCUUGAGUAUUCUAAUGCAAAAUUGGGCCGUGUCACUCGCUAUCUUGGGUUUCUUGCAGAUAGAACUCGGAAACUAGAUCAAGCUGCACUUGAAACUGAAACUAGAAUCACUCCUUUGAUUCAUGAGAAGAAAAGGCUUUUCAAUGACUUAUUGACCUUGAAAGGCAAUGUCAAAGUAUUCUGCCGUAGCAGACCAUUAUUCGAAGAUGAGGGUUCAUCAGCGGUCGAGUUUCCAGAUGAUUUUACUAUCCGUGUAAACACUGGAGACGAGUCUCUUACAAACCCUAAGAAGGAUUAUGAGUUUGACAGGGUAUAUGGUCCCCACAUCGGGCAAGGUGAACUUUUCCACGAUGUUCAACCGUUUGUGCAGUCUGCCUUGGAUGGGUACAAUAUCUCCAUAUUUGCGUAUGGUCAAAGCCGCUCUGGAAAGACACAUACACUGGAAGGAUCUAGCCAUGAUCGUGGUUUAUAUCUCCGAUGCUUUGAGGAACUAUUUGAUCUUUCAAACUCAGAUACUACUUCCACAUCACACUUUAACUUCUAUUUUACUGCCUGUGAACUCUACAAUGAUCAGGUCCGGGAUUUGCUGUCAGAAUCUAGAAGCACAGCUCUGAAAGCCCGCAUGGGUGUGCAAGAAUCCUUCGUGGAACUUGUGCAGGAGAAGGUUGAAAAUCCAUUGGAAUUUUCUGGAGCUCUAAAGACAGCACUUCAAAACCAAUCUGUACAUUCGACGAAGGCCAUCGUAUCUCACCUGAUUAUUACCAUCCAUAUACACUACAGAAAUUAUGUAACAGGAGAACAUCUGUACAGUAAGCUUUCUCUAGUAGAUUUGCCAGCUAGCGAAUGCCUUCUUGAGGAGGAUGCCAAUAGAGAUAAUGUAACAGACUGUUUGCACGUCUCAAAGUCACUUUCUGCGUUGGGUGAUGCUCUGGCCUCUUUAAGUGCAAAGAAAGAGCCUGUUCUGUCUGGGAAUUCAAGACUUAUACAAAUCUUAGCUGACUCUCUUGGAAGCAGCUCGAAGAUUUUGUUGGUUGUGCAUGUAAGUCCAAGUGCUUCAAAUUUGUCUAGAACUUUGCCCACACUCAGUUUUUCGGCCAGAGCAAGAAAUGCUGAAUUGAGCCUUGGAAAUCGUGAUACCAUCAAGAAAUGGAGAGAUGUGGCUAAUGAUUCACGUAAAGAAUUGCAUGAGAAAGAAAAGGAGGUUUCGGACUUGAGACAAGAAGUUUUAGGGUUGAAACUUUCUCUCUCAGAGGCCAAUGACCAAUGCACACUGCUCUUCAACGAAGUGCAGAAGGCAUGGAGAGUUUCUUCUACACUACAAACUGACCUGAAGUCUGAAAAUUUAAUGCUCGCUGACAAGCACAAGAUUGAGAAAGAACAGAACAAUCAGCUAAGGGACCAGAUUUCUCGUCUUUUGGAAGUUGAGCAAGAGCAGAAAAUUAAGAUGCAUGAACGCGAUUUAACAAUUCAAUCGCUACAGGCAAAACUUAAGUCCAUUGAGUCUCAACUUAAUGACGCUCUGAACUCUAGUGAUGCAAGAUCAACAAUUGGAUCUGAAUCUGCUUCAGUUAUUUCAACCCCAAAGAUGAUGGAAUCAACCGCUGAGUCAUCAUCAGUGACCAAAAGGCUUGAAGAGGAGUUAGCAAAGAGGGAUGCCCUUAUUGAGAAACUGCAUGAGGAGAAUGAGAAGCUCUUCGACAGACUUACAGAGAAAUCGGGAUUAGCAAGCUCUCCUCAGGCUCCAAGUCCAUCUUCAAACCAAGUAACUAAUGCUCAGGGAAGGGAUAUAGGCAGGAGCAACAGUGCCAAAACUCAAUCACCAGAUGUAUUUCCAGCAACAAUGUCUCAGGACAAAACUGGAAACAGUGGAGCUAUAGUGAAAUCAAGCAAUGAGUUAGCAAAAACUACACCUGCUGGGGAGUACCUGACUUCGGCACUGAUGGAUUUUGAUCCUAACCACUUUGAGGGAUUUGCUGCAAUAGCUGAUGGUGCAAAUAAGCUUUUGAUGCUGGUAUUGGCUGCAGUUAUCAAAGCGGGUGCUGCUAGGGAGCAUGAGAUACUUGCCGAGAUCCGAGAUGCUGUCUUCUCGUUCAUUCGCAAAAUGGAACCAAGAAAAGUUAUGGAUACCAUGCUAGUUUCAAGGGUCCGGAUAUUAUACAUUAGAUCUUUGCUUGCUAGGUCCCCAGAACUUCAGUCCAUCAAGGUUUCUCCAAUUGAACGUUUUCUGGAGAAAUCAAAUAGUACUAGUCGGAGCAGAGGUUCUAGCAGGGGAAGUAGUCCUGGCAGGUCUCCUGGUUACCACCAUGAUCAUGGUUCACGGGUUGCCUUAAUGGAUGAAAAUGUGCAUGGUUUCAAGGUUAACAUUAAACAGGAAAAGAAAUCAAAAUUCUCCUCGAUUGUUCUGAAGCUUCGUGGGAUUGAGGAGGAGACUUGGAGACAACAUGUCACUGGAGGAAAGCUUCGGGAAAUUACCGAGGAAGCGAAGGCUUUUGCGAUUGGAAACAAAGCCUUGGCUGCUCUUUUUGUUCACACACCUGCUGGUGAAUUACAACGCCAAAUCCGAGCAUGGCUUGCAGAGAACUUUGAUUUUCUAUCUGUAACUGGUGGAGAUGUUGCUGGAGGAACUACUGGGCAACUUGAAUUGUUAUCUACCGCUAUCAUGGAUGGAUGGAUGGCUGGCCUUGGUACAGCGCAGCCCCCAAGCACUGAUGCUCUAGGCCAGCUGUUAUCUGAGUACAGCAAGCGUGUUUACACAUCACAGCUACAACACUUGAAGGACAUAGCUGGCACAUUGGCAACAGAGGAGGCUGAUGAUCCUGUUCAUGUCAGUAAGCUGCGCUCUGCUCUGGAGUCCGUCGAUCAUAAAAGAAGAAAGAUCAUGCAACAAAUGCGGAUUGAUACUGCCUUGUUAACCAAAGAAGAAGGUGGUUCACCUAUCCGGAAUCCUCCAACUGCUGCUGAAGAUGCACGAUUAGCAUCUCUCAUAUCUCUAGACAACAUCUUAAAGCAAGUCAAGGAAGUAAUUAAACAAAGCUCUACAAGACCAUUACGAAAAUCGAAAAAGAAAGCAUUGCUAGAAUCAUUGGAUGACCUCUUGGCACAGAUGCCUUCUCUUCUUGACAUUGAUCAUCCAUGUGCUCAGAAGCAGAUCACGGAUGCACGCAAUGCUGUAGAGUCACUGCAAGAAGACCCCGAUGAUCCUGCCCCUGACCCCAACUUGAAUUCCAACACGCUGGGAGAGAGCGAAGUUUCACAGUGGAACGUAUUGCAGUUUAACACCGGAACGACAGCACCUUUCAUCAUAAAAUGCGGAGCAAAUUCGAGCUGUGAACUGGUUAUCAAGGCUGAUCAACGAGUCCAGGAACCUAAAGGUGGCGAGGUAAUCCGCGUUGUUCCAAGACCAUCUGUUCUUGCAGAGAUGGGCUUUGAGGAAAUGAAAGGCGUGUUUGAGCAAUUGCCGGAAGCAGUCAGCUUGCUUGCCCUUGCACGAUCCGCCGAUGGCACAAGAGCCAGGUAUUCUAGACUGUACAGAACUUUAGCUAGCAAAGUGCCUGCCUUGAAAGAGAUUGUUGCAGAGAUGGAGAGAGGUGGUGUUUUCAAGGAUGUCAGAUCAUAG
rnacentral:rRNA from 1 species